ncrna:Citrobacter youngae ATCC 29220 EFASI RNA
CUGAACCGAUGCCGAGGGGGAGUCAGGACGAUCCGGGGGAGUGACCUGCGAAAGCGGGCGGCUGCUCAGAGAGCACAACCGAUACCCCACAACACCUCAACAGCGACCGCCCCGGCGCUCAGGUAUCGUUCG